AUUGAACGCUAGCGGGAUGCCUUACACAUGCAAGUCGAACGGAUUGCCGAACGCGUGCGUAAUGUAUCGGUCCGUGCCCCUUCCCGGGGGAUAACUACGCGUAAGCGUAGCUAAUACCGCAUCCUCUUGGCGUCGCCUAUAUCGGAUUAGCUAGUUGGUGGGGUAACGGCUCACCCAGGCGACGAUCCGUAGCUGGUUUGAGAGGACGACCAGCCACACUGGGACGGAGACACGGCCCAGACUCCUACGGGAGGCAGCAGUGGGGAAUAUUGGACAAUGGGGGAAACCCUGAUCCAGCCAUCCCGCGUGUGCGAGGAAGGCCUUCGGGUUGUAAAGCACUUUUGGCAGGAAGGCGGUACCUGCAGAAUAAGCACCGGCUAACUACGUGCCAGCAGCCGCGGUAAUUC
rnacentral:rRNA from 1 species